GGCACGGUGGUGCAGUGGGUAGCACUGUCGCCUCACGACAAAAAGGUCCUGGGUUCGAAUCCGGCUUGGGCCU
rnacentral:tRNA from 1 species